rnacentral:rRNA from 1 species
CCUUAGAGUUUGAUCCUGGCUCAGGAUGAACGCUGGCGGCGUGCCUAACACAUGCAAGUCGAGCGAUUCUCUUCGGAGAAGAGCGGCGGACGGGUGAGUAACGCGUGGGUAACCUGCCCUGUACACACGGAUAACAUACCGAAAGGUAUGCUAAUACGAGAUAAUAUGCUUUUAUCGCAUGGUAGAAGUAUCAAAGCUUUUGCGGUACAGGAUGGACCCGCGUCUGAUUAGCUAGUUGGUAAGGUAACGGCUUACCAAGGCGACGAUCAGUAGCCGACCUGAGAGGGUGAUCGGCCACAUUGGAACUGAGACACGGUCCAAACUCCUACGGGAGGCAGCAGUGGGGAAUAUUGCACAAUGGGCGAAAGCCUGAUGCAGCAACGCCGCGUGAGCGAUGAAGGCCUUCGGGUCGUAAAGCUCUGUCCUCAAGGAAGAUAAUGACGGUACUUGAGGAGGAAGCCCCGGCUAACUACGUGCCAGCAGCCGCGGUAAUACGUAGGGGGCUAGCGUUAUCCGGAAUUACUGGGCGUAAAGGGUGCGUAGGUGGUUUCUUAAGUCAGAGGUGAAAGGCUACGGCUCAACCGUAGUAAGCCUUUGAAACUGGGAAACUUGAGUGCAGGAGAGGAGAGUGGAAUUCCUAGUGUAGCGGUGAAAUGCGUAGAUAUUAGGAGGAACACCAGUUGCGAAGGCGGCUCUCUGGACUGUAACUGACACUGAGGCACAAAAGCGUGGGGAGCAAACAGGAUUAGAUACCCUGGUAGUCCACGCCGUAAACGAUGAGUACUAGCUGUCGGAGGUUACCCCCUUCGGUGGCGCAGCUAACGCAUUAAGUACUCCGCCUGGGAAGUACGC